CUAAGAAGACAGAUUUGGAGAAGAAAUCAAGCAAGAAAGAAGUGUGGGGAGCAAAUUAAGGGGUGAGUAGAUUUGUGGGAAAAGUCAAGCAAGCAAGAUGUGUUGUGAAAAGCAAGAAGUGUUUUUUUGUUAGUGCAAAGUGGGUUAUAUGCUAAUGCUACUUUUUUUUUUGUUAUGUUCUUACUUUAUUGAGAGGCCAAAUGUUGCCAGAGGAAUUUCUCAUAUCUUCUUCUUUUUUGUGAAGUUGGGAAAAGUUCUUUGAACUUGUGAAUAAUUUGGAGAUAUCUUACAAAAGAUGUAUAUUUAUUCUCUGCUUCAUUAACAUAUUGUAAAAACAUUUGAGGUUUAAAAAUUAAUCAUGUUAAGUUUUA